CUUCACCGAGCCCAGCCACAGCGGACGGUCGGCGGGGCGGUCCGCGCCAUACGCGGCGAGCAGCGCCUCGGCCUC
rnacentral:antisense_RNA from 1 species